rnacentral:rRNA from 1 species
UACGAAGGGUGCAAGCGUUACUCGGAAUUACUGGGCGUAAAGCGUGCGUAGGUGGUUUUUUAAGUCCGUUGUGAAAGCCCUGGGCUCAACCUGGGAAUGGCAGUGGAUACUGGAAAGCUAGAGUGCGGUAGAGGGUAGUGGAAUUCCCGGUGUAGAGGUGAAAUUCGUAGAUAUCGGGAGGAACACCAGUGGCGAAGGCGGCUUACUGGACAGGUCCUGACACUGAGACGCGAAAGCGUGGGUAGCAAACAGG